GCAGAGCUCGCUAGGAGGCCGGAGCCGGGGCCGUGCUGGUGCGGAGGGAGACAAGGGCGUGCGUCCAGGAAAUAUUCAGGAGGGAAACUGGGCGCGACCUGCUAAACCAAACCCGCUCUGAACUUGCUCUGUCCCAGUUGGUGCCCUUGAUGGGGUCAUACAUCACCAGCCUGCUUCCCCCGGAUGCCCACUUUAGCUGCACAUCGUCCAGCAGGUCAUAAAUGCGGUGAGGAUGAGGGCCAGGCCUGUAAGCGGCGAGGCUACCGGGCUCCUUAAGGUGAAGGACAACCUCACUGGUAAGACAGCUUUGACUAACAGCCCGCCUGACCGAGGCCUGUGCCCGCCUCUGCCCUCCAGGUUCCUACCGCCUAACGAGAGGAAGAGCUGCGGUUGAGCAGCUCUGAGUGGACUUCCCAGAGGGAAGCAGGCCUGGAGGAGGGAGGACCUCCCAGAUUUCACCUAAACAAUGGACAGGAUUUUUCUGAAAAUGCCAUUUGGAUGUUUUUAAAUAAGAAUCAUCUGCAAAAGAAUUUCUAGAAGUUUGAACUCCACUACUCAAAUGAUCUCAAAGAUCAUUUCGAGUAGAUGUUGAAAGAGUGAUAACCACAUAGAUACCGAUAGUCUUUAAAUAUUUUUUUUCUAUUUUUAAUAAUUAAAUUAUUAAUUCAAUCAACAAUGGUAAUGUAGAAAAGUAAAAAGAACAAGACAAUAAUCCACACUUCUACCUCCUGAGAGAAAUGACAUUAAUAUUUAGAAAUUUUUUUCUAUUUUGGAGAGUGUUAAAUGUAAUAUAUAUGUGCAUAUACAUAGAUAACAUGUACCCUGCUUUUCUUAAUGUAUUAGCAUUUUCUCAUAGCAUCCAAUAUUCUUUUACACCAUUAUUUUAAUGAUUGCAUAAAUCCAUUUCUAUGAAUGCACCAUAAUUUAUGUAACCAUUCUAGCAAGAGAGAUUUGUGUUUUUUCCAAUUCUACACUGUUACAGAUAGUGCUUCAGCAAGCAUUUUGGAACAUAAAUACUUGCAUCUCUGAUUAUUUCUCUAGGAAAUAUUCACAGAAGUGGGAUUACAAUGUCCAUGGGUAAGGAAUUUAUAAAGAAGUUAAGUAUUGACAAAUGUACACCCUCACCACCAGGAUAGGAAAGUGUCAGUCUUAACAUAACCUUACUAACAAUGGGUAUUAUUAUCUUUAAAAAGUUUAAGCCAUGUGAUAGGCAAAAAUGACACCUUGCUUUUGAUUUAAUUUGUGUCAGUUAUUAGUGAACAUUUUCCCCAUGCAUGAAUUAACCAUUUGUAUAUUUUCUUUUGUGAAUAAAUUGUUUAUACUUUUUUCUCACUUUUCUGUUAAGUUAUUGUAGGUUUUUAAAAAAUUCUUUGUUUUUGGUUUUUAUUUCAGUCUUUCAU